UACAGAGGGUGCGAGCGUUAAUCGGAAUUACUGGGCGUAAAGAGCGUGUAGGCGGCCACACAGGUCAGCUGUGAAAACUCGAGGCUCAACCUCGAGACGUCGGUUGAAACCGUAUGGCUAGAGUCCGGAAGAGGAGAGUGGAAUUCCCGGUGUAGCGGUGAAAUGCGCAGAUAUCGGGAAGAACACCCGUGGCGAAGGCGGCUCUCUGGGACGGUACUGACGCUGAGACGCGAAAGCGUGGGGAGCGAACAGG
rnacentral:rRNA from 1 species